rnacentral:rRNA from 1 species
UUAAGCGACUAAGCGUACACGGUGGAUGCCUAGGCAGUCAGAGGCGAUGAAGGGCGUGCUAAUCUGCGAAAAGCGUCGGUAAGCUGAUAUGAAGCGUUACAACCGACGAUACCCGAAUGGGGAAACCCAGUGCAAUUCGUUGCACUAUUGCAUGGUGAAUACAUAGCCAUGCAAGGCGAACCGGGGGAACUGAAACAUCUAAGUACCCCGAGGAAAAGAAAUCAACCGAGAUUCCCCCAGUAGCGGCGAGCGAACGGGGAGGGGCCCAGAGUCUGAAUCAGUUGGUGUGUUAGUGGAAGCGUCUGGAAAGUCGCACGGUACAGGGUGAUAGUCCCGUACACAAAAAUACACUUGCUGUGAACUCGAUGAGUAGGGCGGGACACGUGACAUCCUGUCUGAAUAUGGGGGGACCAUCCUCCAAGGCUAAAUACUCCUGACUGACCGAUAGUGAACCAGUACCGUGAGGGAAAGGCGAAAAGAACCCCGGCGAGGGGAGUGAAAUAGAACCUGAAACCGUGUACGUACAAGCAGUGGGAGCACCUUCGUGGUGUGACUGCGUACCUUUUGUAUAAUGGGUCAGCGACUUAUAUUUUGUAGCAAGGUUAACCGAAUAGGGGAGCCGUAGGGAAACCGAGUCUUAACUGGGCGUCUAGUUGCAAGGUAUAGACCCGAAACCCGGUGAUCUAGCCAUGGGCAGGUUGAAGGUUGGGUAACACUAACUGGAGGACCGAACCGACUAAUGUUGAAAAAUUAGCGGAUGACUUGUGGCUGGGGGUGAAAGGCCAAUCAAACCGGGAGAUAGCUGGUUCUCCCCGAAAGCUAUUUAGGUAGCGCCUCGUGAACUCAUCUUCGGGGGUAGAGCACUGUUUCGGCUAGGGGGUCAUCCCGACUUACCAAACCGAUGCAAACUCCGAAUACCGAAGAAUGUUAUCACGGGAGACACACGGCGGGUGCUAACGUCCGUCGUGAAGAGGGAAACAACCCAGACCGCCAGCUAAGGUCCCAAAGUCAUGGUUAAGUGGGAAACGAUGUGGGAAGGCACAGACAGCCAGGAUGUUGGCUUAGAAGCAGCCAUCAUUUAAAGAAAGCGUAAUAGCUCACUGGUCGAGUCGGCCUGCGCGGAAGAUGUAACGGGGCUAAACCAUGCACCGAAGCUGCGGCAGCGACGCUUAGGCGUUGUUGGGUAGGGGAGCGUUCUGUAAGCCGUUGAAGGUGGACUGUGAGGUCUGCUGGAGGUAUCAGAAGUGCGAAUGCUGACAUAAGUAACGAUAAUGCGGGUGAAAAGCCCGCACGCCGGAAGACCAAGGGUUCCUGUCCAACGUUAAUCGGGGCAGGGUGAGUCGACCCCUAAGGCGAGGCUGAAAAGCGUAGUCGAUGGGAAACAGGUUAAUAUUCCUGUACUCGGUGUUACUGCGAAGGGGGGACGGAGAAGGCUAGGCUAGCCGGGCGACGGUUGUCCCGGUUUAAGCAUGUAGGCGGAGUGACCUGGUAAAUCCGGUUGCUUAUCAACGCUGAGGUGUGAUGACGAUGCACUACGGUGCAGAAGUAGUUGAUGCCAAGCUUCCAGGAAAAGCCUCUAAGCAUCAGGUAACAGUGAAUCGUACCCCAAACCGACACAGGUGGUCAGGUAGAGAAUACUCAGGCGCUUGAGAGAACUCGGGUGAAGGAACUAGGCAAAAUGGUGCCGUAACUUCGGGAGAAGGCACGCUGGCAUUAGGUAAAGAGACUUGCUCUCGUAGCCGAAGCCAGUCGCAGAUACCAGCUGGCUGCAACUGUUUAAUAAAAACACAGCACUGUGCAAACACGAAAGUGGACGUAUACGGUGUGACGCCUGCCCGGUGCUGGAAGGUUAAUUGAUGGGGUCAGCCGCAAGGCGAAGCUCUUGAUCGAAGCCCCAGUAAACGGCGGCCGUAACUAUAACGGUCCUAAGGUAGCGAAAUUCCUUGUCGGGUAAGUUCCGACCUGCACGAAUGGCGUAAUGAUGGCCAGGCUGUCUCCACCCGAGACUCAGUGAAAUUGAACUCGCUGUGAAGAUGCAGUGUACCCGCGGCAAGACGGAAAGACCCCGUGAACCUUUACUAUAGCUUGACACUGAACAUUGAGCCUUGAUGUGUAGGAUAGGUGGGAGGCAUCGAAGCGUGGACGCCAGUCUGCGUGGAGCCAACCUUGAAAUACCACCCUUUAAUGUUUGAUGUUCUAACUCGGCCCCAUAAUCUGGGGUGAGGACAGUGUCUGGUGGGUAGUUUGACUGGGGCGGUCUCCUCCCAAAGAGUAACGGAGGAGCACGAAGGUUAGCUAAUCACGGUCGGACAUCGUGAGGUUAGUGCAAAGGCAUAAGCUAGCUUGACUGCGAGAGUGACGGCUCGAGCAGGUACGAAAGUAGGUCUUAGUGAUCCGGUGGUUCUGAAUGGAAGGGCCAUCGCUCAACGGAUAAAAGGUACUCCGGGGAUAACAGGCUGAUACCGCCCAAGAGUUCAUAUCGACGGCGGUGUUUGGCACCUCGAUGUCGGCUCAUCACAUCCUGGGGCUGAAGUAGGUCCCAAGGGUAUGGCUGUUCGCCAUUUAAAGUGGUACGCGAGCUGGGUUUAGAACGUCGUGAGACAGUUCGGUCCCUAUCUGCCGUGGGCGUUGGAAGAUUGAGAGGGGCUGCUCCUAGUACGAGAGGACCGGAGUGGACGAAUCACUGGUGUUCGGGUUGUCAUGCCAAUGGCAUUGCCCGGUAGCUAAAUUCGGAAGAGAUAACCGCUGAAAGCAUCUAAGCGGGAAACUUGCCUCGAGAUGAGUCUUCCCUGGGGCUUUAAGCCCCCUGAAGGAACGUUAAAGACUAUGACGUUGAUAGGCUGGGUGUGUAAGUGCAGCGAUGCAUUGAGCUAACCAGUACUAAUGAUCCGUGAGGCUUAACCUU